CCGCACGCGCGCUACACUGAAGGAAUCAGCGUGUCUUCCCUGGCCGAGAGGCCCGGGUAAUCCGCUGAAACUCCUUCGUGCUAGGGAUUGGGGCUUGCAAUUGUUCCCCAUGAACGAGGAAUUCCCAGUAAGCGCGCGUCAUAAGCUUGCGUUGAUUAAGU
rnacentral:rRNA from 1 species